rnacentral:rRNA from 1 species
UGAGGAAUUUUGCGCAAUGGGGGAAACCCUGACGCAGCGACGCCGCGUGGAGGACGAAGGCCUUCGGGUCGUAAACUCCUGUCAAGUGGGACGAAUGCUACGGGGAUGAAUGAGCUCCGUGGUUGACGGUACCACUGAAGGAAGCCCCGGCUAACUCCGUGCCAGCAGCCGCGGUAAUACGGAGGGGGCUAGCGUUGUUCGGAAUUAUUGGGCGUAAAGGGCGCGUAGGCGGCUUGGUAAGUCAGACGUGAAAUCCCGCGGCUCAACUGCGGAACUGCGUUUGAAACUGCCGGGCUUGAGUCCCGGAGAGGGUAGCGGAAUUCCCAGUGUAGCGGUGAAAUGCGUAGAUAUUGGGAGGAACACCAGUGGCGAAGGCGGCUACCUGGACGGGUACUGACGCUGAGGCGCGAAAGCGUGGGGAGCAAACAGGAUUAGAUACCCGCGUAGUCC